rnacentral:rRNA from 1 species
UACGUAGGGUGCGAGCGUUGUCCGGAAUUACUGGGCGUAAAGAGCUCGUAGGUGGUUUGUCGCGUUGUUCGUGAAAACUCACAGCUUAACUGUGGGCGUGCGGGCGAUACGGGCAGACUGGAGUACUGCAGGGGAGACUGGAAUUCCUGGUGUAGCGGUGGAAUGCGCAGAUAUCAGGAGGAACACCGGUGGCGAAGGCGGGUCUCUGGGCAGUAACUGACGCUGAGGAGCGAAAGCGUGGGGAGCGAUCCGG